GACAUGAACCACUGGCUGAGAAACAUCCUGAUUCUGACUCUCUGGCUAGAGUGUAAAGGAGAAGACAGAGUGACCCAGCCAGCAGGAGAUGUCAUUGCUGCUGAAGGAGACACAGUUACACUUGGCUGUACUUUUGAGACGAGUAGAGCAAGUCCAACUUUGUUCUGGUACAAACAGGAUGGAAACAACAGCCCCAGAUUCAUGCUGAGUCGCAUGCAACAGAACGAUGUGAAAACAGAGGAUAAGUUUAAGGAGAGGUUUUCAUCAACAGUUGAUUCCACCUCAAAAUCAGUUCCUCUGAAGAUCCAGAAGCUUCAGCUGUCUGACUCUGCUGUGUACUACUGUGCUCUGCAGCCCACAGUGACAGGAAACACCAAAACUCUGUACAAAAACCUUUGGAGCAAAGACAACAGAAUACUCCACAACGUCCACUAGAGGGAGUCACACACUGUUAAACUUCAGUGUGUUGAUACAGUCAGGAGUCUGCUAAUAAAAAAAUGAGUUACUGAAGAUCUUAACAUGAUUUCUUUGUCUUCUGAAGAAUAACGACAUCAUCAACCAUCAAACUUUCCUCUAAACACUAAAUAUGCUGCAUGUACAGAACGCUCUUUAUACCAAGGCCUUUCAUAGUGAUUCUCUCCAUCAGACAAACAGACACACUCUCUCUCACUGA